rnacentral:lncRNA from 1 species
CCACAUGAAGUUAAAUAUGUUCCACGUUAAUCUCAUCAUAUUAGAUGGACAAAAAGAAGGAGACAGAAAAAUGAAGCUCCCCAAUUUUCUCUGGAGCACGCAAUCUUUUGCAUCAGCCUAAGAUUUGCCCUUGCUUGACGAUGGCAUUUACUUUUUUUUUUUAGCUAACAACAAUGGCAUUUACUCAUCUAUAAUCCUGGAAGAAUAAUUAAUUUACUAAGCAAAUCAAGGGAACUGUACUUUUGUAUGUAUUAUACCGAACAUUGAUGAGGACCGAUUGUCUUUCCACUCUUCUUCCGAUGGCUACGGCUAUCUACUUGCCACUCUCUACUCCUUCGUCGCAUAUCUGUUCAUUUUAUAUACGGGUAUGACUCUUCGAAUUUAAUAUAACAAUUUGAGUAUAAUUUUGCAAUAUUCUAGGCAUUAUUUUCUCUCGGCGGCCUAGCACAACUCUUACGGAAAUUCUACAGAUGGAACAUAUAUAGUGAUGGGGAAAUGAUACAGGUAGAUUUUUACUCGAUUGUUUCACUUGAAAAGUUAAGAAUUUAAUUUUGAUGAUGAUAGAAAGCUAAGAAGGGCUUAAAUUAAAGAGAAAAGUGGCCAUCGCAUUUUGUAAUAUACAUUGAAAUUUAUCAAAAAACAUAAAAUUUAGCGAGUCACGCUUUUUGUUACAUUUCAUUCGUGAUUUAUAAUUAUUAAUAAAUUUCAAUUAAUAAUAAAAAGUAGUAUAUAAAAAUAUGUUAAAGAAUUUGUUGAUAAUACGAUUCUAGAUUGAAACUUUUAAGUUUGACAAAGAAACUGAUGAUGGAACCAAAAGUGUAUAUAAGAAAUUUUGGUUCAAGAAAAAUUAUGUUGUCUGGUUAUAGCAAUUACAGUCUACAACAUUGAUUUUAGCAUCUUGAUAUAAAUAUUCUUGUAUUAAGGAUUUUGGGUUUAAUAUAAUUUACAUUUUUACCAGAAGAAAUUUUGGAAAAAAAUAUUAUAAGGGAGAACAAACACUACUAACUCAUCAUUUGCCCAUUAAUAGCAACUUCACAAUUCCCAUCGUAGACGUUAAGACGUAGCGGUUCCUUUGUUGAGUUUCUUCCGUCUCUAAAUGAACUUUGUAUCAUGCAUCCUGCACCCGUUUUGUCAAAGCCAGAGAUGGAUACCUGAUGGGAAGGGACCUGAUGCUCCUGAUUUCGAGGUCAGGAAUGCCUCCUAGAAUUUAGAAGGAGAGGAAAUUUGGUGAAUUUUCUGAUGCCUUCUCUUUUAUUCAUAGUAGUAUUUAUAUAGAACUUGCAUACAUAACGACAAAUGCUAAC